UAUGUUUUAGUGUAUGGAGCACAUGAAUUUUUGAUAUUUAAAGGAGCAGUUUAAUUCUGUUUAACAUAA
rnacentral:tRNA from 1 species